rnacentral:tRNA from 1 species
UCAGAAGAUAGUUUAAUGUAAAAUGCCAGCUUUGGGAGUUGGUGAUAGA